rnacentral:misc_RNA from 1 species
GAUGAAGAACGCAGCGAAAUGCGAUAAGUAAUGUGAAUUGCAGAAUUCAGUGAAUCAUCGAAUCUUUGAACGCACAUUGCGCCCGCCAGUAUUCUGGCGGGCAUGCCUGUCCGAGCGUCAUUUCAACCAUCAAGCCCCGGGCUUGUGUUGGGGACCUGCGUCCGACGCAGGCCCUGAAAACCAGUGGCGGGCUCGCUGUCCACACCGAGCGUAGUAACUAACCUCGCUAUGGAGUGGCGCGGGCGCCUGCCGUAAAACCCCCAAUUUCAUAAGGUUGACCUCGGAUCAGGUAGGAAUACCCGCUGAACUUAAGCAUAUCAAUAAGCGGAGGA